UGGAAGUGAGGCUGAGGGGCCAAAGCGUAUGCCAUUACGCGUUUGCUUGGCCCCUCAGCCUCACUUCCA